UGCCAGCAGCCGCGGUAAGACGAGGGGUCCAAGCGUUGUUCGGAAUCAUUGGGCGUAAAGCGGGUGUAGGUGGCUUUGUAAGUCAGAAGUGAAAUCCCCGAGCUUAACUCGGGAAGUGCUUUUGAAACUGCAGAGCUUGAAUGUGGGAGAGGAUCGUGGAAUUCCAGGUGUAGUGGUGAAAUACGUAGAUAUCUGGAGGAACACCGGUGGCGAAGGCGGCGAUCUGGCCCAACAUUGACACUGAGACCCGAAAGCGUGGGGAUCAAACAGGAUUAGAUACCCUGGUAGUCCACGCCGUAAACGAUGGAUACUUGGUGUUGGAGGUAUUGACCCCUUCAGUGCCGAAGCUAACGCGUUAAGUAUCCCGCCUGGGGAGUACGGCCGCAAGGUUAAAACUUAAAGGAAUUGGCGGGGG
rnacentral:rRNA from 1 species